CGUGGACGAAGUAGACACACCUUCAUUAAUUCAUUAGAAAAACGAAUCUUAAUUAAUACACGUGAGCCGAAAGAAGGGAAAAUGAGAGAAAUGUCUCUUCCAACAUUUAUUAUGUCAACUGAAUUAAUAAUAUUUUACUAUUUUGAACUGAAGUGCUAUUAUAUAAGAUUUUUAAUCACUUAAUGAUAACGUAUACAGUAAAAAGUGAAAAUGCAUCCCUUAGUGUUCUUGAUUUACAACAUUUAAUAAAAUUAAAGCCCUCUUUUAUAUAAGUUCAUAAUAAAAGAAGUUAAAUUCUGAUGACUAUCGUUGUUGAACAGGAAAGAGAACUUUUUAUGACCACUUCUAAAGAUUUGCAGUCGUUUUGUAUCCCCCUUCCACUUGACACAAGGAGUCGAUGGUCCGUACGUAGAGAAGAUUCACUGUCUGCCAAUUGUUGUAAAUCUCGCCAUUCUGUAAUUGUUAUCUGUCGUCUUAACUUUUUCAUUGUCUAAAGGGAAUUGUUAGACGUUAAUCAAAUAAAAUUUUCACUUUCAAACAUCUGAUUGGAUUAGUAAUAUUAUUCAUUGGGCAAUGUUAAAACGAAUUCUAGAAUUACCCGAAUUCAAUCGAAAAAAUAAGAAAAUGAUUUUAGUAUAAUCGUGUAUUCAGAAUAGAAGCAAUAGCUGUUUCGAUUAAAUAAAACUGUAGACAACCGUAUCAUUCCUUCCACUUUAAACAUUUAGAGAGAUAAGAGAUAAAAACGUCAAUUCACCAUCUGCGAAAGCAACCAAGGUACCAUUCAAUAAAUGGACUUUCCCGGUUCAGUCCACCUGUUCCCCGUGAUGAGAGAUCGCUAAUAGAAAGCUAUAUAAAACUACGACUGGAACAAAUAUGUGACAAGAGAGAAGAAGGAGACAGAAACUGUGAACAGGGCUGUCGUUACUUGACCCUCCUGUGAUGUAAUUGGUUCAAAGGAGAAGAGAAGUUGUCACGGUCGUCGUACUGCUUCAUGGAACAACAAGAGACAGCAGAUGGUUCCGUCUUUCCUCAAUAUCGACUUGUCUUUCACAACCUUUUGACCAAAGACACCUUCUCGGAACAAAGGUGUUAUUAAACAUUGCCAUACAUCUUUCUAGAAGAAUAAUUAUUAACUUUUACUUUUCGUAUUACUUAAAUACAUAUUUAUUUAUCCAGAAAUUGUUUUUUCAAUCGAUUUUCUACGAAUACAUUUUUUCCUUCUUCUUCUUUUUCCUUGGAUAUGUUUAUACUAGUCAGUCACAAGACUAACGGUCUAUUGGAGAGGUUGCUAUUCCGAAUGACAGAUCACGUUCAAGGGCUGGUGGUUUCCAUUAAGUUCAUGGUGUCAGCACUGUCGCCAGAUGUUCUAUGUUUCGUCGUUAGGAAAAGUCGUACACGACUCAUACAAAACUUCUUUAAUCGAAUAUUACUCGGACAAUCUGACAAAAGUCUCUGAGGUAACAACAGAAGUACAUAAAGAUGUCUGUAGAAAGGCGCGAGAUUGCUCUGAGAGGUGUUAGAAAGUGCCAGACAAUGGGUGAAAGCGGCAAAACAUGUCCAAGUAAUUCUGGGACACAAACCAGUGGUUGGAGGUGAACCCUUGGGAGUUCUUUAACUGUCUACAAACUCAUGCCCUGUACUUAGAAAAAUAAAGCAAUUUUAUUGAUAUGCAAUAUAAAAUACCUUUUCAAUUAUUUAUUUUAAUUAAUUAACUUAAACACUGUUACAAAUUACUU